CAAAGAUACUGCCUGACGCUGACCAAUGGCUGCUUAGAAGCCAAGCAAAUUCCGCCAUUUUAUGGAUCCCCACUCAAGGGUGAGAGCAUUCCUUUUCCUGAAGCAAAAAGACCCAAUUUUGACAACAUAUGACAUAUAAGUCUCUGGGUAGACAUAAGAACAUGCAGAACCCUCAUCACUGUUCAUCCACAAGAUAAGGGUCCAGGAGGUAACAUGGAUUUCCAGCAAAGGUCAAAAUUUUGUAUGAGAGGUGAAUGCAGAUUCUUCUUGCGAGCAACAGUAAUGGGCUGGUUCUACACAGGACCCUGCAUAUGCUGCAUGUGUGGAGAACCACUUCAGUGCCAGAAUGCAGAACAGAAUUCUCCACACCCAAAACCAGAUUUGGAAAGCUGCAGUUGAUAAUCUUCCCAUUUCUAAAUUCAAACUGCCGAUGCUGGGCUUUCUGCAAUUCUUCAGUCAAUUUAGGUUGAUGUCUGAAAUAAACAAAAAUGCAUUUAGCCACAGAAAAAUGCUCUGUGAAUGUUACACUGUAUGGUAGCAGAUAAAAAAGAGCAAGUUAAAUGGAACGUGCCAAUACUUUCUUUAUUUCUAUAACUUGUGCUGUUGAAUCUGAAGUCAAAUAUAUAUCAGAAUGCAAAUCAAGUUAAGGCCAGAUGUUGAGAAAUUAGGUACCUGGACUGGUGAGUGUGUGGAAGGAGAAGUCUACUGAAAGUAUAGAAAGGUCUGGAGGGAAAGCAUAGAGAAAUUUAUUGAUUUAGUCUCAUAAAACUACUUUUUCACACUAUACAUGAGUAGACUUCCCCUUUAUCUAACUUGUGUUUCUCUGUGUUUACAUGAAACUUUGGAAAUUAGAAAGACAAAGUUGAAUGCAGACCAGCAAGUCUCUUCUGUUUGACUUCAUUUUUAAAUAGUUCUGCUACUACAUAUUGUCUCAGAGAGCAGGGUAUAAUGAUAUGUGGUAGCGAGUUGGCAAGGGAAUAAUGAAGAUCUCAAAUUAGUUCGUGAAAUGUAAAAUUAAUGGAUCUAAAAUAUCUGAAGGAAGUUUAUUGUUCCUUCUUUACAGUUAAAAAGGGGUUUUAAAACUGUAAA